rnacentral:rRNA from 1 species
GACGUAGGUGGCGAACGUUAUCCGGAAUUAUUGGGCGUAAAGGGUGCGUAGAUGGCCUGAUAAGUUAACAGUGGUAAAUCGAGGCUCAACCUCGUGGAAACUGAUAAUACUGUCUGGCUCGAGUACAGAAGAGGUUAACGGAAUUCCAUGUGGAGCGGUAAAAUGCAUAGAUAUAUGGAAGAACACCAAUAACGGCGAAGGCGGUUAACUAUUCUGUUACUGACAUUGAGGCACGAAAGCGUGGGGAGCAAAACGG